CAGGAACCUUCCACAGGAGGGCCCUCUAAGAGCCUGUGCUGAAUUUAUUUGGUUGGCAAAGAACAACUUUCUGAGCUACCUGUGUGAUAACUCCUCAGCACAGCUCCAUGUCUC
rnacentral:lncRNA from 1 species